rnacentral:rRNA from 1 species
AUUGAACGCUGGCGGCAGGCUUAACACAUGCAAGUCGAGCGGAGUGGCGGACGGGUGAGGAUUGCAUAGGAAUAUGCCUGGUUGUGGGGGAUAACGUCCGGCAACGGGCGCUAAUACCGCAUACUAUCAGCUGAGCCUUGGUCGGAUUAGUUUGUUGGUGGGGUCAAGGCCUACAAAGGCGACGAUCCGUAACUGGUCUGAGGGGAUGAUCGGUCACACUGGAACGGGACAACGGUCCAAACUCCUAGGGAGGGCGGAGUGGGGGAAUAUUGGCCAAUGGGCGAAGUCCUGAGCCGGCCAUUCCGCGUGUGUGAAGAAGGUCUUCGGAUUGUAAAGCACUUUAAGUUGGGAGGCGUUACCAACAAAAUAAGCACCGGCUAACUUCGUGCCAGCCGCCGCGGUAAUUC